AACAACAACAGCCAACAACAUCGACACACAACUCGUAUAACGCAAUCUCAACAUCCCAACGUUAACAACCACUUCAACAAACGACGAAAUCCGCUCUAACCCAGCGAACCCAACAACCCGUAUCUGCAACAGCAACCAACGCAACAAUAACAACCACAAUUCAAUGCAACAACAGUACAACAACGGAAAGAACUAGCUCAGCAACAACGUUUCAAUUCGUACAAAUUCCAGUCAAACCUUAUCUCAAAUUUUGAAAUUCAAAUCCUAAUUCGUUUUUCCUCUUAACCCCUUCGUUUCCCCCAAAAAUCAGUCUCAUAUAUCCUAUAAAUACCCACGAAUGUAGAAUGAAGGGGAGGAGGAUUUUGGAUAAAAAUUUGGGAGUUCUGGAGGUGCAUGCCUCUAACUUCACACAACCGAAAUCCCGACGGAAAACUAAAAUCCAGCAAAGUCACUAUUAUUUUGAUAGAUUGGAAUUGUGUUUUGCCGGUGGUGGAAGUUUGUCGUCAAGGUUCGUCGUCCCGUUUCUUGCCCCGAAAAAGGUGGAAGGUGGUUUGUAUACGCCAACAUAUGAUGCAUAGUGAAUUUGGAAGCAAAUAUACAACCAUUUACAUAUCACUAUAUAGUAAAUAUACGGAAAAACGUGAAGAAAAGGUGCUGUGAUAUACAGAUGAUAUACACAGCUGAAAGAAAUUUGAAAAAAGGACCAUUUAAAUAGGCCCCAAACCAAUGGUGUCCAGAUUUGAAAAUGGGUCAAGUAAGGGCCCAAUUUCAAUUCUUGUAUUCACUUUUUGUAGUUUAUAGAGUAUUGUUUAUUUGUAUUAACUAAUACUUUAAAUCAAUUAAUCUAGAUAAAUUUCCCAAGGUGUUGCCAUUU